GCAUUUCUCGCAUUUGUCCUUGUCAGUAGUUUCUCUCUCCUUCUCUCACCAUUCAUUUCUCAGUGUGUUUCAGUUUAUAAAAUCGUACACUUCAAAUUCAAUUUCGAAGAUAAGAAUCCCUAAUUUCAUGCUGUCAUUCUUAAUCUCUCUUAUCCACUGAAUCUAAUAUCCUACAUUCUCAUUCCCAUUUCUUCUUCUUCUUCUCGCUUUGUGUGUGUAUUCAAGUUUUCUCCUUUUGAGUUCAGUAUUAUUGUUAUUAUAAGAAGAGACAAAAUUUGC
rnacentral:misc_RNA from 1 species